AUCCCAUGAUGAGGACACUUACGAAGUAACUCCUUGAAUUGUUCCCAAGCCUAAUACAAAGACUUGUCAUCCAAUUGUUGGAAAGUUGUGCUCUCGUUCCUCAACUU
rfam:Gossypium hirsutum cultivar TM-1 chromosome 25, whole genome shotgun sequence